GCUGCUGACACGUCUGAAUUUGUGGGCGUAUAAAUCUGAUCAGAAUUCUUGCACUGCAUAUCUUCUGGAAUGCUAGAGUACCAAAGCUGAUAGAAUAUCAAGCCAAUGAUCACAUGGAACAUUGGGUGACCCUCAAAUCCGUGUUCUCGCAUCAGACUUCUAGCAUUCUGACGUUCACCUUCAAUGUUCCCCUGCAUAAGAUGGAUAAUUAUCGAC
rnacentral:misc_RNA from 1 species